rnacentral:rRNA from 1 species
GCAGAACGCGAAGAACCUUACCUACCCUUGACAUGUACGGAAUUCCGCAGAGAUGUGGAAGUGCCCGAAAGGGAACCGUAACACAGGUGCUGCAUGGCUGUCGUCAGCUCGUGUCGUGAGAUGUUGGGUUAAGUCCCGCAACGAGCGCAACCCUUGCCAUUAGUUGCUACAUUCAGUUGGGCACUCUAAUGGGACCGCCGGUGACAAACCGGAGGAAGGUGGGGAUGACGUCAAGUCCUCAUGGCCCUUAUGGGUAGGGCUUCACACGUAAUACAAUGGUCGGUACAGAGGGCUGCCAACCCGCAAGGGGGAGCUAAUCCCAGAAAGCCGAUCGUAGUCCGGAUUGUAGUCUGCAACUCGACUGCAUGAAGCCGGAAUCGCUAGUAAUCGCGGAUCAGCAUGUCGUGGUGAAUACGUUCCCGGGUCUUGUACACACCG